rnacentral:rRNA from 1 species
AACGCUAGCUACAGGCUUAACACAUGCAAGUCGAGGGGAAACGACAUCGAAAGCUUGCUUUUGAUGGGCGUCGACCGGCGCACGGGUGAGUAACGCGUAUCCAACCUGCCCAUCACUUGGGGAUAACCUUGCGAAAGUAAGACUAAUACCCAAUGACGUCUCUAGAAGACAUCUGAAGGAGAUUAAAGAUUUAUCGGUGAUGGAUGGGGAUGCGUCUGAUUAGCUUGUUGGCGGGGUAACGGCCCACCAAGGCGACGAUCAGUAGGGGUUCUGAGAGGAAGGUCCCCCACAUUGGAACUGAGACACGGUCCAAACUCCUACGGGAGGCAGCAGUGAGGAAUAUUGGUCAAUGGACGAGAGUCUGAACCAGCCAAGUAGCGUGCAGGAUGACGGCCCUAUGGGUUGUAAACUGCUUUUAUAAGGGAAUAAAGUUAGUCUCGUGAGACUUUUUGCAUGUACCUUAUGAAUAAGGACCGGCUAAUUCCGUGCCAGCAGCCGCGGUAAUACGGAAGGUCCGGGCGUUAUCCGGAUUUAUUGGGUUUAAAGGGAGCGUAGGCCGGAGAUUAAGCGUGUUGUGAAAUGUAGACGCUCAUCGUCUGCACUGCAGCGCGAACUGGUUUCCUUGAGUACGCACAAAGUGGGCGGAAUUCGUGGUGUAGCGGUGAAAUGCUUAGAUAUCACGAAGA